AUAUGUAUAGUGUCAACGCUUACAUGUCAGUAGGUAAAGUAGAUAACGAUAACGAGCACGAGAAAUAUGUUAAGAGGACGAGAUAAGAUGAUGGAGAUGAUUUUAUUGAUAUUAAAACAGCGGACCACCAUUUAGCUGGAGAGUAAUCGAAAACGGUGCAAUGUCCCCGACGCGAGUGCAGUGAACUUUUUCGCAGUCACGUAAAAAAAUACAGAAUGCGGUGAUAUAAUGGGCCCAAGGGUAUAAGACCAGAACCUACUGAGUUGCAUUAAACGGUGAUCGCAACGAAGGAAACAAUAAGUGCUCGAGGGUUCUGCUAAACUACUCUAUGAGAUGCCAAGAACAAAGUGAGAUAAGCAACGGUGAACAGGUUUGACUGGUGCAAUAGCUAAACAAGGCAAAGUCAAAAAAGUAUUGGCGACCGUAAACUUUAUGCUCGGGUGACAUCACCGCCAUAUUAGGCAGCGGCGAUACUGUACAAUUGAAUAUAAAAAUAGCACGAUGAAUGUUUGCGUGCCACUAUCGACACACUUAAUACGUAAAUUCUUUUGUUUAUAAUUUAAGAUAAACAAACCGUUUGUUAUUGUUUUUUUUUUUUGUGAAAUUUCGCUAUUAUUAAAUCAGAAAAAAAAGUAUAUAAGUCUGAAAAAUAUUUUUAGCGAUUAUAAAUUGUUAUGUAACAAAGUGUCGGCAUGGACUUAAAUUUAAGUAAACAAGUGUACGAGAAUAAACAUUUAGCACAAUUUACAUACUACACGCAUACAUUAUGACAGUAAUGUAUGUUCGCAUAAUACCUACUGUUAAUCACUACAUCGUACAAGCAGAUGACAUUAAAAAUUUGCUCAAACAUU